UUGAUAAUACAAGUUAUAUGGAUUAUUUUUUUGAUAAAGAAGUUAAGAAAGCAUAAUUGAGGCCAACGUGGUCUUUCAUCAAACGUGUAUCUAUAAAAACACCAAGCCGCCUAUUAAAAAAAAAAAAAGCAUACCCUAAAACGCUCUAACUUCCGUUUCUCCUCUUUCGGAUACUCUCUCCUUUCGCUUCCUCUUGAUUUUCUUAACACCGAUGCUUACGAUACAAAGAUAGAGAAGGAGGGAAAAAUAAACCUUGCGAUUCAGAGAUGAGAAGAAGACAGAUGUUGAGAGAACUACCACCGUAUAUAAAUGUUGGGGUUAAACGGAAUCUACAAAGGUCUAUAUUUAUUCCUCACAAAAGGGACAUGAUAGGCGGAAAAUAAAAAGGGGAAACGAUAUUUGACUGAUUGGAAGGGAGCAAGAACAAAAAGAACAACUGAGAUAUGAAAUGAGCUGAUGCUGAAUUAGCAUCUUCAAAUGCACUUGGUUGGAUUGUUUUAGAUUUAGAUAUUUGACUUAGAUUUGGUUUUAAUGGGUUUAAAAUAAAUUUUGUUUUGAGUAUUUGUAUUAGAUUUGGGUUAAAUUCGUUUUUGGUAUUUGCCUAUGGUGUUUGUAUUUAGAUUUAUAAAUGGAGAUAUGUGUUGGGUGUUUAGUA